GGUUGAGAUAUCUUGUACUACUUUUUUUUUGUUUAGUAAGUUAUAUACCAUAUCCCACUGAUUUUUAUUUUAUUUUUUUUUAGUAUCAAAAGAGAGAAUGUCUCCAUUGAAUUCUAAGAGAAUGUAUUCACAGCUAGCUAAACUCUUUUUUUGUUGAUUGCCAUAAGCAUUGACACAUAAUUACUUCAUCUAAAACUUGGAAUUGUCAUAAUUAAGAAGUCAAGACUAUAUAAGAAUUUAGGGGUUAAACU
rnacentral:lncRNA from 1 species